AAUUUUGGACAAUGGGGGAAACCCUGACCCAGCAAUGCCGCGUGCAUGAUGAAGGCCUUCGGGCUGGAAACUGCUUUUGUACGGAACGAAAAUUCGUUGGCUAAUACCCUGGGAUCAUGACUGUACCGUACGAAUAAGCACCGGCUAACUACUGUCCAGUAGCCGCGGUAAUACGUAGGGUGCAAGCGUUAAUCGGAAUUACUGGGCGUAAAGCGUGCGCAGGCGGUUUUGUAAGACAGUGGUGAAAUCCCCGGGCUCAACCUGGGAACUGCCAUUGUGACUGCAAGGCUGGAGUGCGGCAGAGGGGGAUGGAAUUCCGCGUGUAGCAGUGAAAUGCGUAGAUAUGCGGAGGAACACCGAUGGCGAAGGCAAUCCCCUGGGCCUGCACUGACGCUCAUGCACGAAAGCGUGGGGAGCAAACAGG
rnacentral:rRNA from 1 species